ensembl:lncRNA
CCCACGGACUGCAGCCGGCGCGCUCACGGUGCUGAUGCUGCUGGUGGUUAGCCAGGCAGCUAAUCACUGAAGCUCCGGAUAAAUGGUCACAUUUACGGCGUUUAACAUCCACGUUAGCCCACGUUGUGUGGCGCCAGAUGGACGCGUAAUGUUGUGUGCAUGUUCUUGUUGUCGUUUCGUGUAAUGGAGCUGUACCACCUCUGUACAAGCCGUAAGCAACGGGUACUUAUGCAUUCUACGGUUAGCUCGCUAACGCUCCGGGCAUUUUUAAGAUUUGCUGUGGUUAAUGGCUCUAGUCGUCAUGCUGUCGUGAGCGAGCCUUGGUUUGCUGCAGCCUCGCUUCCCCACUAGGAUUACCUGACGGUCAGAGCCUCCACCAGCUCCACGACAUGACUCACACACAGUGAGCCGACCAGCUGGCUGGAUGGCUAGCUCUUUCGUUAGCAGCUAACCUAGGCGGUGAUGCUAGCAGCCGUUCGGGUGUCCGUACCGCCAACCAUCUGAAGCCAUGUCUGCCCGAUGUAGCUGAUGUGUUACUCGGCUUGCCAAAAGAUGAAGGGCCGGGGUUAUGAUGCGCCUCUGCCUGCAGGAGGCGGAACAUGGAAGCAGAGGAAGAGCGGAGUGCACACAAAGUUUUGGAUCCUAUGGUGCCCUGCAGGCAGAACGGAAGGAUCGGUACUUUGAGAACUCUCCACCGCCUGCUGAAAACCCAGAACACACUGCAGAUUCAGUCCAUCACCCGCUCAGAAUGUGCUGGUUCCUGUCCGAAUCUAAUGAUGAGUAGGAGCGAGCAUGCCGAUGCGAGGCCCGUGCCUGUGGCCCUCACCCCCCAGCUCCCUCCCAGGGCCC